GUUGCUAACAGGAGAGCUGAGCACUCUGGCGAGACUGCCGCCGACAAGGCGGAGGAAGGUGGGGAGUGACGUCAAGUCAUCAUGGCCUUUAUGCCCAGGGCUACACACGUGCUACAAUGGCCGGCACAGACGGCAGCUUAGUGGCGACACUUGGCAAAUCCUCUAAAGCCGGUCCCAGUUCGGAUUGCAGUCUGCAACUCGACUGCAUGAAGCCGGAAUCGCUAGUAAUCGCAGAUCAGCCAAGCUGCGGUGAAUACGUUCCCGGGCCUU
rnacentral:rRNA from 1 species